AAUGGCUGCAGUAAUUUGACUGUACAAAGGUAGCAUAAUCAUUAGUUUUUUAAUUAAAAGCUUGUAUGAAAGGUUGGACGAAAUAAAUUCUGUCUCUUUUUAAUAAAAUUAGAAUUUAAUUUUUAAGUUAAAAAGCUUAAAUAUUUAUAAAAGACGAGAAGACCCUAUAGAGUUUUAUAAUUUAAAUUUAUUAAUUAAUUUAGAUUUAUUAAUUUUAUUUUUUUUAAAUUAUUUUAUUGGGGUAAUAGAAAGAUUAAAAAAAUUCUUUUUUUUAUAAAAUCAUUAAUUUAUGAAAAUUUUAUGAUCCAUUAGAUUUUGAAUAUAAGAUUAAAUUACCUUAGGGAUAACAGCGUAAUUUUUUUUAAGAGUUCAUAUCGAUAAAAAAGUUUGCGACCUCGAUGUUGGAUUAAAGAUUAAUUUAGGUGUAGAAGUUUAAAUUUUUGGUCUGUUCGACCAUUGAAUCUUUACAUGAUCUGAGUUCAAACCGGUGUAAGCCAGGUUGGUUUCUAUCUUUAUUAAAAUUUUAUAUUUCAGUACGAAAGGACCAAUUAUAUUAUAUAUUUAUAUUUAAAUUAUUGAAUAU
rnacentral:rRNA from 1 species